rnacentral:rRNA from 1 species
AACGAACGCUGGCGGCAGGCUUAACACAUGCAAGUCGAGCGCCCCGCAAGGGGAGCGGCAGACGGGUGAGUAACGCGUGGGAAUCUACCCAUCUCUACGGAAUAACGCAUGGAAACGUGUGCUAAUAACGUAUACGUCCUUCGGGAGAAAGAUUUAUCGGAGAUGGAUGAGCCCGAGUUGGAUUAGCUAGUUGGUGGGGUAAAGGCCUACCAAGGCGACGAUCCAUAGCUGGUCGGAGAGGAUGAUCAGCCACACUGCGACUGAGACACGGCCCAGACUCCUACGGGAGGCAGCAGUGGGUAAUAUUGGACAAUGGGCGCAAGCCUGAUACAGCCAUGCCGCGUGAGUGAUGAAGGCCCUAGGGUUGUAAAGCUCUUUCACCGGUGAAGAUAAUAACGGUAACCGGAGAAGAAGCCCCGGCUAACUUCGUGCCAGCCGCCGCGGUAAUAC